AUUAGUUUUAUAUAUAAAAGAGUCGGAAGACGAUAUUGUCGUCUUAUUACGAGAAAAGCCAGCAUCAAAUGAAGGAUAAUAACAUUUCGAUAUCGGGUUCUUAAUUGCGGUACAUGUAUAAUGUGCACAGUGUUAUUGAUUUGCGGUUCGUCGUGAUAAGUAGAUUUUUCUCUUAAACCAAUAAACACAUUCAUUUGUUUGUAUAUACUAAAGAUCGUGAUCCAGACGAUGUUAACGCAUCGGUGAAUUCUAUUAUAAAGCAUACACAGUGAAUUUACAAAACUUUGUUUAUUUUAAGAAAUAAAAAAUUAUAAAAAAACAGAAACGAACAAUGAAAGCGAUUUCCGAUGCAUCAUGUGCAACAGGCGUAGCAUCCGUACCAUCCACACAUACUGGUCGGAUCGGCCGGCAACGGGUCGGCGAAAAUGCUGAAAUUCAAAUGUACCUGUCCAAACUGAAAGAUCUAGUGCCAUAUAUGCCAAAGAAUAAGAAAUUGUCGAAAUUGGAAGUGAUAGAGAAUGUCAUCGAUUACAUCUGCGAACUACAAAGUGCAUUACAGAAAAACACAAAUUCGGCAGGCAUUGAUUUCGAUGCGAGUGCGGCAGCAACAUCGUUUGUUACACGACAACCUCUGGGUGUAGUGAAUGGUUGCGGUGAAUCUUUAAAUAAUAAUUGUUGAUUACGCAGCGCAACAACGUCAUCAAUGUACGACAAUAUUUCUGGUCGGAGAUUUUAACCGGACAAUUUCCGGAGAGAAUUUUAGAUUUUAUUUUCAUGAAUGGAGUCACAACAAAAUAAUUAUUUACAAGGAAAAUGUAAUUUAUUCAUCUUAUCUGAGUCCUUUAGAUCAACUGCUCAACCCGAAAUAUUUUAUUUUUGUUUGUUUUAAUAUUCUGUGAUCUGUAGAAUUAAUUUUUGUACAAAAUGUGUCAAUUGAAUCUUGUCAAUCUUGUAUUGGAGAAAUCGACACAAAAUAGAUGUAAAGAGUGCAGAGUGCAUAUUAUGUGUAAUUUUGUUAAUUUUAACCAUAAAACUAUUGUAACAGACGUAAUACCUAACCAAUCACAAACAAUUGCUUUUAAUUAAAAACAUUUUUGAUUGAA